AUCAAAACAAAAUAAAUAAAUAAAACACACACAUACGUGUGUGUAUGUCUGCGAUUUUAACCAGAGCCAGGAAGGCUCUCUUGCUCAAAACCCUAAAGUGCCAAGAAUCACCAAAUUGAAGGGCAGAACUAGCUCAAAUCAGAUGCAUGAACACGAAUUCAUGAUCACCUAGUCAUGGGGAUUACAAGAUGGAGGCUUGGGCAAGGAGCGGGUCAAACGGAUCGGGUACGCGAAAAAGGAGCAUAACCGGAUGCAAGGAGCAAUUAACGAUUCGGAUACUCCCGUCACCAUAGAAAAUGUGAUAAUAAAAGCGAGGUAUAAAUCGGGUCUAUUUGUUGAUCCGAGCCAGGUACGCAUAUUUAUGAUGUAUGUAAAAGUGCUAAUUUGGUCGAAUAAUUGGUGAUAGUCCUUCAUUGUAGAAGAAGGACC